AAAUAUACGUGGAAAUCGGUGAAUUGCAACUCAUAUAACACAGAUUCUAAACCGAGGAGUUUUUAUUAGCAAAAUUACGCCCCCGAGAUAGAUAACUCGCCCCUCGUUCGGGGUUUCGAGCCUGCAAUUGUCGAGAUCACUCCCGGUAUAUACUUAUUGAGUGUCGUAAUUCAUUUGGUUACAGUUUUUGCUAGGCCCGUCUCUUCAAAGCGAUAAUGUUAGUUUACAAACAAGUCAGUACACAUACACACAUAAAAUAAUUUGAUAAUUUCCACGGUUUAAAAGAAUAAUAAAAAAUAUACAUCUAGUUGGACUUGGAGCCAAGACCAUUGUAAUCCAAACAAUGGAUAGUCUUAGGGCCGGUUGCAUAAAACCCGUUUGACCGCAGGUUGGCCUUCAACCGACAGUUGAGCGAGAUUUUGCGUUGCAUAAGGUUAACCGCGGGUGGCGGUUGAACCGAUGAAAUUUCGACCGGCGGAAAUCCACUGGUCGAGCCGCUUCAACCGACGGUUGACGGCCCAGUCGAUCCGUUCGCAAGAACAAAAAUAACUUGAAAACCAUCCUUUCUGCUCAUAUUUGCGCUUUUGUUAGUUCUUGUGAUGUGGUCUCGAACAGUGCUUGUGAUUUUCCAUCAUCGUUUUGCUCAGCGUAUACACUACAUAUACGGAAUUUGUGUAAAAGUGAGUGCAAAGAGCUGUUUCAGAAUGGCUAGAAUUGAAGAUGGAAAAGCGAGAUUUUUGUGGACAGAAAGUGAUUCCGAGGAAGACGACAGGGGACGGAGAGGCAGCUUCCUGUGGGCAAAAACCCUUCAUCCGAGUAUGAAGAGCAUGUGAGGGCAGUCCCAGCACCUAGAAAUUUUCGAAAGAGGGUCACUAUGAAAGAUGGAACGAAGAAGAAUUCUGGCAGUAAUUUCGUUUAAGAAAAGAUACCAUGAGAAAACAAAAAUGCGUAGCUAAUUCAUCUGAGUUGUGAACGUUAUAGGUUAUUUGUAGGAUUAAGGUUUUCUUCUUAAGUUUUUUUUUCAAUUUGGAUACCAUCAGAAACCAAAACCUCUGUAACCCACAACCCAAAUAAUUAAAGGUACCGCAGUAAUUUGUUACAAUAUAACAUCCAAUCUUGAA